AACUGAUACUACCUGCGGGAACCUGCGGAGGGAUCAUUACCGAGUUCUCGCCCCUCGCGGGGUAGACCUCCCACCCACUGUGAUCACUACCGUCGUUGCUUUGGCGGGCCGCUGGGCCCAGCCCACCGCCGGCUCCGGCUGGCGCGUGCCCGCCAGAGGCCCUACAAACGCUGGAUAUCAGUGCCGUCUGAGUACACAUGUUAAUCGUUAAAACUUUCAACAAUGGAUCUCUAGAUCGGA
rnacentral:misc_RNA from 1 species